GUGACCACAUAGUCAGAGUAAGGCAGGCAGGUAUGAGGAGGCAGCAGAUACUCUGAAAAUUCUGGAAUAGCUACAUCCGCAGCGAACGACUGGACCAGAGCGUAAUGACUCAUGAAGGUGACCAGCCAGGGAGUCCCCCAGGACCUAGACGGUAGAGGUGGAAGAGCCGGAAGGCAGAACGGCUUCCUGGCCUGCUGAGGAGUAUAGAAACGAGUCUUUAAGGCCAUGGAUCAUCGAGUCCAUGAGCUUGGAGAAGAGCCCCACACCCUCAAACGGGGUAACCUGGAGGACUACAACCAGGAACUGCGCCUCAUGGCCACCGUGGAGGCAACAACCCUGGCCGCUGAGUCAGUAGUGACCCAGGCCAUUUGAAGGGCCCCCCUUGCCACCGCUGUGCCUUCGUCCACUAAAGCAGCAAACUCCUAGGCUCAGUCCUGCGGAAGAGCAAGAAUUUGUUAAGAGAGUCCCACAGGUUAAAACUGUACCUGCCUAACAGUGUCUGGUAGUUAGACACCUGGAAUUUCAGGCUUGCCAGUCAAUGAAUC